UGCCAGCAGCCGCGGUAAGACGGAGGGUGCGAACGUUGUUCGGAAUCACUGGGCAUAAAGAGCACGUAGGCGGUUCGCUAAGUCAGGUGUGAAAGCCCCCGGCUCAACCGGGGAAUUGCAUCUGAUACUGGCGAACUCGAGGACGGUAGGGGUGAGUGGAACUCCAGGUGGAGCGGUGAAAUGCGUAGAUAUCUGGAGGAACACCGGUGGCGAAAGCGGCUCACUGGACCGUCUCUGACGCUGAGGUGCGAAAGCUAGGGUAGCGAACGGGAUUAGAUA
rnacentral:rRNA from 1 species